GAUGAACGCUGGCGGCGUGCCUAAUACAUGCAAGUCGAGCGAACGGACGAGAAGCUUGCUUCUCUGAUGUUAUCGGCGGACGGGUGAGUAACACGUGGAUAACCUACCUAUAAGACUGGGAUAACUUCGGGAAACCGUAGCUAAUACCGGAUAAUAUUUUGAACCGCAUGGUUCAAAAGUGAAAGACGGUCUUGCUGUCACUUAUAGAUGGAUCCGCGCUGCAUUAGCUAGUUGGUAAGGUAACGGCUUACCAAGGCAACGAUGCAUAGCCGACCUGAGAGGGUGAUCGGCCAAACUGGAACUGAGACACGGUCCAGACUCCUACGGGAGGCAGCAGUAGGGAAUCUUCCGCAAUGGGCGAAAGCCUGACGGAGCAACGCCGCGUGAGUGAUGACGGUCUUCGGAUCGUAAAACUCUGUUAUUAGGGAAGAACAUAUCUGUAAGUAACUGUGCACAUCUUGACGGUACCUAAUCAGAAAGCCACGGCUAACUACGUG
rnacentral:rRNA from 1 species